GGUUAAUUAAAUUUUAUAAUUUAUAAAAAAUUAAUCUCGAAUUUAAAAGAUUUAAUUAAAAAUUUUAAGUUAUUGUUGAAUUAAUAUUAUUAAUUUUUAAUUAGAAAUGAAAUGUUAGACGGUUUUAAAUAUAUCUAGUUUUUUUAGAAUUGAAUUAAAUUCAGCUUUAAAAUUUUUUAAAAUUAUUUUAUAAAUUUAUUUAUUGAAUAAAUUGUUUUAAAGUAAAUAUGAUCGGGAUAAAUUGAUUAUAUUAUUUAUAAAUUUAAUAUAAAUUUAUUUUUAAUAGUAAUAAUAAAAUUAUAUUUCUUUUUAAAAAAUUUUUUAAUUUAUAUAUUAAAAUUUUAAAGUUUAUAAUUUAUUUUUUAUUUUAAUUAUUUAUAAAAAUUUAUUAAUAAAUAAAAAUUUAUUAAAAAUAAUGAUUAUAUUAGUAAAUUUAUAAAAUAAAAAAUGUAGUAAUUGAUUAUUUAAUUUAUUAAUUUAAAUUUAAGGAAUUAGGCAAAAAUUUUAGUUUAUGAAAUUUAUAUUUACCUGUUUAUCAAAAACAUGUCUUAUUGAUGUUAAUAAUAAGUUUAUUCUGCCCAUUGAAAUAUAAAAUUUUUAAAGGCUGCAGUAUAUUAACUGUACAAAGGUAGCAAAAUCAAUAGUUUCUUAAUUGAAAACUGGAAUGAAAGAAUUAAUAAAAUAUAUUCUGUCUCAAAUUUAAUUUAUUAAAUUUAAAUUAAAAGUUAAAAUGCUUUUAUUAAUUUAUUGGACGAUAAGACUCUAAGAAUUUUAUGAAUUUUAGAUUAUUAUUAGAUUUUAUAAUUUAAAUAAUUUAUAGUUUAAUUUUUUUUUAUUGGGAGGGUAAUUAAAUUUAUUAACUUUAAUUAUUUAUUAACAUUAAUAAAUGAAAAAUUUUAUGAUAAUAUUAAUAAUUAUAAGAAUAAAUUACCUUAG
rnacentral:rRNA from 1 species